rnacentral:rRNA from 1 species
ACAUGCCUACAACAUAGCAUUAAUGCACCGGAUCCCAUUAGAACUCUGCAAUUAAACACGCUCAGGCUAGAGUAAUAUUGGGAUGGGUGACCACCCGAGAAGUCCUACUAUUUUACAUGCC